rnacentral:rRNA from 1 species
UGAAUACGAGAUGCUACGGCAUUGAAGUAGUGUAUGUCAGACUUCCAAGAAAAGCUCGCAAUGUCAUAAAUAAAUAAUGCCUGUACCAUAACCGACACAGGUGGGUAGGUAGAGUAUACUAAGGGGCGCGAGAUAACUCUCUCUAAGGAACUCGGCAAAAUGACUCCGUAACUUCGGGAGAAGGAGUGCCUCAUUUAUGAGGUUGCAAUAACAAGAUCCAAGCAACUGUUUACCAAAAACACAGGUCUCCGCUAAGUCGUAAGACGAUGUAUGGGGGCUGACGCCUGCCCAGUGCCAGAAGGUUAAAGAAGUUGGUUAGCAUCCGCGAAGCUGAUAACUGAAGCCCUGGUGAACGGCGGCCGUAACUAUAACGGUCCUAAGGUAGCGAAAUUCCUUGUCGGGUAAGUUCCGACCCGCACGAAAGGCGUAAUGAUUUGGAUUCUGUCUCAGAGAGGGACUCGGUGAAAUAGACUUGUCUGUGAAGAUGCGGACUACCUGCACCAGGACAGAAAGACCCUAUGAAGCUUUACUGUAACUUGAAAUUGAAAUUGGACUUUAGUUGCGCAGUAUAGGUGGGAGGCGUUGAGUUUAUUCUUGCGGGAAUUUAGGAGCCAUCAGUGAGAUACCACUCUGCUAAUGUUAGAUUUCUAACUUUGCAUCAUAAUCUGGUCAAAGAACAGUUUCAGGCGGGCAGUUUGACUGGGGCGGUCGCCUCCUAAAUGGUAACGGAGGCGUACAAAGGUUUCCUCUGAACGUGUAGAAAUCGUAUCUAGAGUAUAAAGGCAUAAGGAAGCUUGACUUAGACUUACAAGACGAGCAGGGACGAAAGUCGGUCUUAGUGAUCUGACGGUGCUGAGUGGAAAGGCCGUCACUCAACGGAUAAAAGUUACUCUAGGAUAACAGGCUGAUCUCCCCCAAGAGUUCACAUCGACGGGGAGGUUUGGCACCUCGAUGUCGGCUCAUCGCAUCCUGGGGCGGUAGUACGUCCCAAGGGUUGGGCUGUUCGCCCAUGAAAGCGGUACGCGAGCUGGGUUCAGAACGUCGUGAGACAGUUCGGUCCAUAUCCGGUGUAGGCGUUAGAAUAUUGAGAGGAGCCUUCUUUAGUACGAGAGGACCGAGAAGGACAUACCUCUGGUGUACCAGUUAUCGUGCCAACGGUAAACGCUGGGUAGCUAUGUAUGGAGUGGAUAACCGCUGAAAGCAUCUAAGUGGGAAGCCCACCUCAAGAUAAGUAUUCUCAUCACGUAAGUGAGUAAGGUCACGGUAAGACUAACCGUUUAAUAGGCAUCAAGUGUAAAUGUAGUAAUAUAUGAGCUGAGAUGUGCUAACAGAC